CUCAGCCUCCUGCAAAAAAACAAAACAAAAUUACAGAAAUAUUAAACCAUAGUUGUACAAGUAUUAUAAGUUACACAUCACAAUUAAUCUAGUUGUACUAGUUAUAUUAGUUAUAAGAAAUGUGGUCGUACUAGUUAUACUAGUUCCACUGAAUUUGUUUACAACAUAUUAUUACCAGUUACAUCAUUUUCACUCUUUUAGUUGUACUAGUUAUACGAUACUGAGUUGUAUUAGUUAAACUAGUUAUACUUUUGAUAGUUGUACCGGUUAUAUUAGUUAUACUUAGCGUGGUUGUACUAGUUCCACUAAGUUUCUUUUACAACAUAUUAUUACUAGUUAAACUAGUUUCAUUCUUUUAUUUGUACCAUUACAUUACUUAUAUAAUUCCACCUAUUUGUUAGUUCAACCCAAUCAUAGACAUUUUCAAAACUAUUUUAAAUUGAGUUGUUUACCGUUCUUUGCGCAGUAUGGUCAAUGGCAGCCUCGGGUAUGUGUGAAUCUCUAUUGUUGGAUACAAUCUCCUCAUCGUGAUUGUCUAUACGAUGUGAAGGACAAUUUGUGGCAGAUUCUUAGAUUGAAAGUGAGGUUACUGGAGGUUGCAGUGGAUUCUCGGCCUCACUAGGUGCCUGAGUAGGUGAUUUUUGUGGCUCACUCGGAUGCGCUGGGCCUGGUGUACCCCCGACAUCGGCAUGAGAAGGCAAUUCCGCUGAUGGUGCUGGGGAAUGAUCGCCUUGAUGUUCCUGUUCUGGUGGAGAUGCGGUGUUCCGAGCCCACUUGGUUGGAUUCGACAAGGACCCACCGUCGACACCACUGUUUCGCUUCCUCUUCUUCUCUGCGGUCUCGGUUUCAGUCUUCUUCUUCGCCGCAUCUCUCUUUUUUUUUUCACGGCCUCUCUCCUUCUUUUCACUGAUGUUUCUUUUUUCUUUCUCGCGGAGUCCUUCUUCUUCUUCUCCCUCGCAGCUUUCCUCUUCUCCGCCGCAGCUUUCUUCUUCUCCGCCCGAGCUUUCUUCUUCUUCGCCAUUGACUCGUUCUUCUUCUUCUCCAGCACAUCUUCUUUGUUAUUUUUUUCGGCGAGUCGAGUCUUUGGAGACAUAGUUUCUCAAUGAGUGACACGAAAUUGGAGAAAUAGAUGAGAUUCAAGAUGAUUGUUGCCGAGUUUGAUUAGUAAUGGGAGAUAGAGGGAGAUCGUGAUUUACUCUGUAGGUUUCAUUGGUUUUGUCGAAGACAAAGAAUUUAAGAAUUUAGGGUUAUUAAAACACGGAUCGGGUCGGGUUAAUUGUAAGUGGGUGGAUGACUGGUUGGAUAUGUAAAUAUAUUGAAGUUUUAGGUUUUAUGGUAUUUUCUAUUUAAUCUUGAUUUAUUUUUAAUUCAUUAAAAAAAUAAAAAAAGAAGGGGUCUAUUCUAGAUUUUUUUGUGCCCUCCUGGUGCAUCCCAGCAUUUGAUCCUCCAGAGAGCAACCAUCGAGCAGAGUAACGAAGCAUUUCUCAGACGAGUUUAGCCAAUUUUGUGACCGGAAAAUGAGUGACUUCGUUUGGAUGCUUUGUUGGAACAGAGUCUCUGGCCUGAACCGCUUUUACUGGUGAACGAUUUAUAUAGUUUUAUUUUUUAUUGAAAACCAAUUGAAGCGUUGGUGCGUCGAAGAGUGUUUGGUUGGUUCAUCUAUUAGCUAACUCGGUGAACUCGGAGAAAGACUACUGGUUUGAUCUGGUUUAAAUGGAAGCAACUGGUGGUGACCGGUUUAAGGAUCUGGUUUGGGCUAUGGUUCAACCAGGCCUUUAUGUGUACGGUAGUGUGGUUAAGUGCAAGGUAGUUUGAAAACAUUGCUGAGGAAGAAGUACUAGAAGACGAUAUGGUCAAAGGAAUGUGAUAAAAACGAUAAGUGUUUAAACCCAUUGGAUGGUUAAUUAUAUUAGUUAAGGAGUUAUAAAAUUGGUGGGUUUUGAAUAAUUGGAAUGACUUUUGUAAGUGAAUAAUUAAAAACUGGCAAUGACGUUGACCAUGAAAUGUAAAAUUGAUAUGUGAAUUUGUUUUGACAUAUCAAUACAUAUUUUUAAAU